rnacentral:rRNA from 1 species
GUAGGGUGCAAGCGUUACCCGGAUUUACUGGGCGUAAAGGGUUCGUAGGCGUUUUAGUAAGUCAUUCUUCAAAUACCGGGGCUCAACUCCGGACCGGGGAGUGAUACUGCUAGAAUUGAGGCACUUAGGGGCUACUGGAACUGUCGGUGUAGGGGUGAAAUCCGUUGAUGUCGAUAGGAACUCCGAGGGCGAAGGCAGGUAGCUGGGAGUGUUCUGACGCUGAGGGACGAAAGCUAGGGUAGCGAAAGGGAUUAGAGACCCCUGUAGUCCUAGCCGUAAACGAUGCUCGCUAGCCUCGUGAAUUUAUUUGCGGGGCGUAAGCUAACGCGUUAAGCGAGCCCGCCUGGGGAGUACGAGCGCAAGCUUA